rnacentral:rRNA from 1 species
AAUAGAUACCCGGGUAGUCCAUGCCGUAAACGAUGAGUACUAGCUGUCUGGGGUAUCGACUCCCUGGGUAGCGCAGCAAACGCGAUAAGUACUCCGCCUGGGGACUACGGCCGCAAGGCUAAAACUCAAAGGAAUUGACGGGGGCCCGCACAAGCAGCGGAGCGUGCGGUUUAAUUCGAAGCUACGCGAAGAACCUUACCAGGGCUUGACAUGUCCCUGACCGCCGAUGAAAGUCGGUUUCCCUUCGGGGCAGGGUCACAGAUGCUGCAUAGCUGUCGUCAGCUCGUGCCGUGAGGUGUUGGGUUAAGUCCCGCAACGAGCGCAACCCUCGUCGUGUGUUGAAUUUUUUCACACGAGACUGCCCGGAGCAACCGGGAGGAAGGCGGGGAUGACGUCAAGUCAGCAUGGCUCUUACGUCCUGGGCUACUCGCACGCUACAAUGGGCAGUACAGACCGUUGCGAUAUCGCGAGAUGGAGCUAAUCGGACAAAGCUGUCCUCAGUACGGAUUGCAGG